AACGUGUUUCUGGAAAGGAGGCAAGCUGGUAGGGGAGCCGUGAAUCUGGAAGAUGACCAUCACUCUACCAACAAGGAUUACUUUAGGGCCAGACUCGUGCUGUUUGUUCCAGACCAGGACUCUGGCUGAGGAGAGCUGAUGGAGGAGCCAAGACUCGAGCCAAGAGGACUACAUCACUCCACCAACCAGGAUCCUCACACAUCAGAGCAGAUCCUCACCUGAUCCUGUUUGGUCGGGGGUAGACACACCUGCGCUAAACCCGCCCUGAUCCUGACAUCCUGCUAGUCCCGUCUCCUCAGUUCAUCUGAGCCUCGUCCUCC
ensembl:lncRNA